AUUGAACGCUGGCGGCAGGCUUAACACAUGCAAGUCGAGCGGAGAUGAGGUGCUUGCACCUUAUCUUAGCGGCGGACGGGUGAGUAAUGCUUAGGAGUCUGCCUAUUAGUGGGGGACAACAUUCCGAAAGGAAUGCUAAUACCGCAUACGCCCUACGGGGGAAAGCAGGGGAUCUUCGGACCUUGCGCUAAUAGAUGAGCCUAAGUCAGAUUAGCUAGUUGGUGGGGUAAAGGCCUACCAAGGCGACGAUCUGUAGCGGGUCUGAGAGGAUGAUCCGCCACACUGGGUCCGAGACACGGCCCAGACUCCUACGGGAGGCAGCAGUGGGGAAUAUUGGACAAUGGGCGAAAGCCUGAUCCAGCCAUGCCGCGUGUGUGAAGAAGGCCUUUUGGUUGUAAAGCACUUUAAGCGAGGAGGAGGCUACCGAGAUUAAUACUCUUGGAUAGUGGACGUUACUCGCAGAUUAAGCACCGGCUAACUCUGUGCCAGCCGCCGCGGUAAGAC
rnacentral:rRNA from 1 species